rnacentral:rRNA from 1 species
GAUGAACGCUGGCGGCGUGCCUAACACAUGCAAGUCGAGCGAAGCACUUUGCUUAGAUUCUUCGGAUGAAGAGGAUUGUGACUGAGCGGCGGACGGGUGAGUAACGCGUGGGUAACCUGCCUCAUACAGGGGGAUAACAGUUAGAAAUGACUGCUAAUACCGCAUAAGACCACAGCACCGCAUGGUGCGGGGGUAAAAACUCCGGUGGUAUGAGAUGGACCCGCGUCUGAUUAGCUAGUUGGUAAGGUAACGGCUUACCAAGGCGACGAUCAGUAGCCGACCUGAGAGGGUGACCGGCCACAUUGGGACUGAGACACGGCCCAAACUCCUACGGGAGGCAGCAGUGGGGAAUAUUGCACAAUGGGGGAAACCCUGAUGCAGCGACGCCGCGUGAGCGAAGAAGUAUUUCGGUAUGUAAAGCUCUAUCAGCAGGGAAGAAAAUGACGGUACCUGACUAAGAAGCACCGGCUAAAUACGUGCCAGCAGCCGCGGUAAUACGUAUGGUGCAAGCGUUAUCCGGAUUUACUGGGUGUAAAGGGAGCGUAGACGGAUGGGCAAGUCUGAUGUGAAAACCCGGGGCUCAACCCCGGGACUGCAUUGGAAACUGUUCAUCUAGAGUGCUGGAGAGGUAAGUGGAAUUCCUAGUGUAGCGGUGAAAUGCGUAGAUAUUAGGAGGAACACCAGUGGCG